rnacentral:ncRNA from 1 species
GAGAACUACUAGCAACAGCUUAAAACUCAAAGGACUUGGCGGUGCUUUAUAUCCCCCUAGAGGAGCCUGUUCUGUAAUCGAUAAACCCCGAUAGACCUCACCAUCCCUUGCUAAUUCAGUUUAUAUACCGCCAUCUUCAGCAAACCCUUAAAAGGAAAAAAAGUAAGCAUAACUACCCUACAUAAAAAAGUUAGGUCAAGGUGUAACCUAUGGGCUGGGAAGAAAUGGGCUACAUUUUCUAUUCAAGAACAACUUCUACGAAAACUUUUAUGAAACUAAAAGCUAAAGGCGGAUUUAGUAGUAAAUUAAGAAUAGAGAGCUUAAUUGAACAGGGCAAUGAAGCACGCACACACCGCCCGUCACCCUCCUCGAGUGAUAUAAUUUAAUUAUAACCUAUUUAAACUAAGCAAAGCAUAAGAGGAGACAAGUCGUAACAAGGUAAGCAUACUGGAAAGUGUGCUUG